rfam:Clostridiales bacterium S5-A11 contig013, whole genome shotgun sequence.
AAAUUAUCAAGAGUGGUGGAGGGACUGGCCCUAAGAAACCCGGCAACCUGCAAUAUGCGUGGUGCCAAUUCCAGCGGAAAGACCGAUAGAUGAUUG